rnacentral:rRNA from 1 species
UACGGAGGGUGCAAGCGUUAUCCGGAUUCACUGGGCUUAAAGGGUGCGUAGGAGGGUAGGUAAGUCAGUGGUGAAAUCUCCAAGCUUAACUUGGAAACUGCCGUUGAUACUAUCUGUCUUGAAUAUUGUGGAGGUGAGCGGAAUAUGUCAUGUAGCGGUGAAAUGCGUAGAUAUCGAGAGGAACACCUGCGGCGAAGGCGGGUUGCUGGGCUGACACUGACGCUGAUGCGCGAAAGCCAGGGGAGCGAACGGG